ACAUUCUUUUUCUCUCUUUCCUAUUUUGCUUAAUAUUACAUCAAUUAUUAUGUUCGCUAUAUUGUGACAUUUAAAUGGAUAAUUUCUACAAUCGUUGGAAUUCGGGCGUGAACGGCUUGCCCCACUCAUUCAUACUUUUGUACGUUCGCGCCGCGCGUCAUUCAUAUUUUCAAGCAGACGACUGCAGACGACAGUGUCGUGUCGGCCACGUGAAAGUGUCGUGUUUCGUUGUUUUCUCGAAUUUGUAAAAGAAAUGGGUAGAAAAAUUCCUGGUAAAAAGCAUAGGGGGGUGAAAGAUCCUCUGAAGCAGCAGGCGAAACGACAGGCAGAGUUAGAAACGAAGAUAAACGCGCCGCCGAAGGAUGCAUCGGAACAAGCGAUACCGAAAAGUUUGGAAAGAGUGGUCAAAUUGAAGGAAGCGGUGAAGUCAGGAAGGUUGACGAAAAUAAAGAGGAAGAAGAAGAAGAAUGCACUCAUAUCUGUCGGCGGCGGGAAUUCUACGCCUUCGCAUCCGAAGGCCAGGCCGGAUAAAGUCGUCCCGAUAUUUCGGCAGAUGCCUGGAGAGAGUGAGCAACGAUUUCUGUACAGAGUCAACAGGGAUACUCACGCUUUUAUCAAUGAAACCGCGUUCGAGAAGAAAUUCAGUGUUCAAGUAAAUCGGAAUCCUGUAACGGGGAAAAUAGAGGGACUCUCGAACUGUGAACAAUCCGAGUUGGAAAAAAUCGAGAUGUUGAGAGCGAAGCACAGGAACAUUAAAAAGAAGAAGAAGAAGAGUAAUCCAGAUGCUCCGAAAAUGACUAAAAGUGAAAAGAGGAAAGAGAAGUUGAAAUUGAAGAAGCAGAAGCAAUUCGAGGAAAAUGUAGACGAAUUUGAUAGGUUUAAGGACCGAGUCGAAUUCGGAGAGAUCGUUCAUGAACCACCUCAAUUGAAUGUCAGACCAAAAAGUGCAGAUGCUAUCAGUACCUCUAAACCUGGGAAGAAGCAUCUCCUUCUUCACUCGAUGCUUAAGAAAAGCGAGAAGCCGAAAACAGCUUCGAAGGAGACAAAAUCUAUAAACAGGACUGGUAAGCGUAAAGAUCUGCCGGCCGGAGAAAGAAGACAAUUAGAGAAACAGCAAAGUGAUAUUAUAGUAGCAUACAGAAGACUGAAAGCGCAACGGUCUGCCAGUGUUGGCACCUAGGGUCUGGAAGACGUGAAAAUAGAAUCGGAACCUGAGGUUCUCGUGUAACCGAAGUCUCAAUUCUCCAAGAUUGACGUCUUCCACGUGGCCGUUGUGCAAUCAGGCGGCGACACGGAUGAGUCGAAAGGCUGACAGUGUCCAGACGCAGCCCUGACUCCCGGAAAAAGCGAGAGACCCUGUCGACUUUACUCCGCGCGUGCGUUAGUAACUCUAAGUAGAGAGGACAUUCGGCAAAACGUCGACACGCGCGAUCGUUCUCACGGGUCCCGCGAUUCCCGGCCGAAAUUCCGAAUCUCUUCGCCGGCCCGCC